UAUAAUCUUAAAAUUGAAGGUCGGUGUAGAAUCCUCUGCCCUAGACUGGCCCUUAUACUUUCUAUAUUUACAAUUCCCACCCUCAAAGCUUAUGAAGUAAAGCUUUCCACGUGUUCCUAUUGCUUUUGUUUUCUUUGAAAGGGAAAAGAGAUGGGAACUCCGGUGUCCCCUCCGACAACCCGCGACGGCCUAAUCCAGCGCGUACACAACCCGCGACUACAUAAGGGAGAUUGGUGAACCUAACGGUGGUGUUCGUACGGUCAGACGAGUGACGUCGGUGGUUUUAAUGGAGUAAUUAGUAGCGGAGGCUAGGGUUUCUUAUUCUGUAUAUUGACAUGAGGGUUGAUUAACUACUGUUACGCCAUAAUAUUGCAGAAAUGGUGGUGGUUUGCUCACACCUGGUGCAUGAAGAUGAUCAAUGGCAGGAAAUUCGAUCCAUUUUAUAAACAACUAUGUGCCUAAAACCCAAGAUCCCUGCUCUGUGGUUUUUUGUGUGUGGCCGGAAAGUUGAAGGUGGCCGGAUUUCUUCUUACAAGCUGGCAUGAAGACGGGGUGGUACCACCAGCCUCAUCAGUUGUACCGCAGCAGUUUAGGAAGAGAGAGGAAUACGUUGCAGAAAAUUGAACGUGGCAAAAAACUAAAUUAUGAAGACCCCAUACUUAUCCUUUCCUUGCCAAGCACCUUAGCUACAGUAAGUAACGCUGUCACCGUUAAGAGACGUCGAUGUCAUUUACAACAAACCGAUUGCAACAGUUGAUAAUGAUGGUUGUCGGUGGCGUUCAUCAGUUCAUCACAUCUCGAGGAAAAAAGGAGUUCUAGCUAGAGAAAAUGAAAGGUGUUUGGGGUGCCUAAAGUAUGAUCCUUACAAGCAAAAAAAUUUCAGUUGAACGGGUUGCUUGAUGUUGGUAUUAGGUUCCGUUUAUUUAUCAUUAUUUUUCGGUUCGUUUUUUGGAUUUUCCUUCUUUGUGCGCAUUUAAUAUCAUCGACUUACUACUUUCUGUAUGUGUAUGUACAUACGGUUUUGCCGCCGCAACGCGCGGCAAGGUAAAUUCCUAGUAUAACCUUAAAAUGAAAUGUCGGUGUAUUUUACUAUUAUAAUCCUUCCUUUUUUCCUACUUUUACACAAGGUCAAUUCAAUUGAGAAGGAAUUCGGUUGUUGAAUGGUAAGGAGCCCAAGCCCCAAGGCAUGCAGAAAAAUAUAUAUCAAAUAAUUAUUUCUUUCUUUUUUUACUUCAUCAAUUCUAAUUUUUUUC